rnacentral:rRNA from 2 species
UUAAGCGACUAAGCGUACACGGUGGAUGCCCUGGCAGUCAGAGGCGAUGAAGGACGUGCUAAUCUGCGAUAAGCGUCGGUAAGGUGAUAUGAACCGUUAUAACCGGCGAUUUCCGAAUGGGGAAACCCAGUGUGUUUCGACACACUAUCAUUAACUGAAUCCAUAGGUUAAUGAGGCGAACCGGGGGAACUGAAACAUCUAAGUACCCCGAGGAAAAGAAAUCAACCGAGAUUCCCCCAGUAGCGGCGAGCGAACGGGGAGCAGCCCAGAGCCUGAAUCAGUGUGUGUGUUAGUGGAAGCGUCUGGAAAGGCGCGCGAUACAGGGUGACAGCCCCGUACACAAAAAUGCACAUACUGUGAGCUCGAUGAGUAGGGCGGGACACGUGGUAUCCUGUCUGAAUAUGGGGGGACCAUCCUCCAAGGCUAAAUACUCCUGACUGACCGAUAGUGAACCAGUACCGUGAGGGAAAGGCGAAAAGAACCCCGGCGAGGGGAGUGAAAAAGAACCUGAAACCGUGUACGUACAAGCAGUGGGAGCCUCUUUAUGGGGUGACUGCGUACCUUUUGUAUAAUGGGUCAGCGACUUAUAUUCUGUAGCAAGGUUAACCGAAUAGGGGAGCCGAAGGGAAACCGAGUCUUAACUGGGCGUUAAGUUGCAGGGUAUAGACCCGAAACCCGGUGAUCUAGCCAUGGGCAGGUUGAAGGUUGGGUAACACUAACUGGAGGACCGAACCGACUAAUGUUGAAAAAUUAGCGGAUGACUUGUGGCUGGGGGUGAAAGGCCAAUCAAACCGGGAGAUAGCUGGUUCUCCCCGAAAGCUAUUUAGGUAGCGCCUCGUGAAUUCAUCUCCGGGGGUAGAGCACUGUUUCGGCAAGGGGGUCAUCCCGACUUACCAACCCGAUGCAAACUGCGAAUACCGGAGAAUGUUAUCACGGGAGACACACGGCGGGUGCUAACGUCCGUCGUGAAGAGGGAAACAACCCAGACCGCCAGCUAAGGUCCCAAAGUCAUGGUUAAGUGGGAAACGAUGUGGGAAGGCCCAGACAGCCAGGAUGUUGGCUUAGAAGCAGCCAUCAUUUAAAGAAAGCGUAAUAGCUCACUGGUCGAGUCGGCCUGCGCGGAAGAUGUAACGGGGCUAAACCAUGCACCGAAGCUGCGGCAGCGACACUAUGUGUUGUUGGGUAGGGGAGCGUUCUGUAAGCCUGUGAAGGUGGCCUGUGAGGGUUGCUGGAGGUAUCAGAAGUGCGAAUGCUGACAUAAGUAACGAUAAAGCGGGUGAAAAGCCCGCUCGCCGGAAGACCAAGGGUUCCUGUCCAACGUUAAUCGGGGCAGGGUGAGUCGACCCCUAAGGCGAGGCCGAAAGGCGUAGUCGAUGGGAAACAGGUUAAUAUUCCUGUACUUGGUGUUACUGCGAAGGGGGGACGGAGAAGGCUAUGUUGGCCGGGCGACGGUUGUCCCGGUUUAAGCGUGUAGGCUGGUUUUCCAGGCAAAUCCGGAAAAUCAAGGCUGAGGCGUGAUGACGAGGCACUACGGUGCUGAAGCAACAAAUGCCCUGCUUCCAGGAAAAGCCUCUAAGCAUCAGGUAACAUCAAAUCGUACCCCAAACCGACACAGGUGGUCAGGUAGAGAAUACCAAGGCGCUUGAGAGAACUCGGGUGAAGGAACUAGGCAAAAUGGUGCCGUAACUUCGGGAGAAGGCACGCUGAUGCGUAGGUGAAGCGACUUGCUCGUGGAGCUGAAAUCAGUCGAAGAUACCAGCUGGCUGCAACUGUUUAUUAAAAACACAGCACUGUGCAAACACGAAAGUGGACGUAUACGGUGUGACGCCUGCCCGGUGCCGGAAGGUUAAUUGAUGGGGUCAGCCGCAAGGCGAAGCUCUUGAUCGAAGCCCCGGUAAACGGCGGCCGUAACUAUAACGGUCCUAAGGUAGCGAAAUUCCUUGUCGGGUAAGUUCCGACCUGCACGAAUGGCGUAAUGAUGGCCAGGCUGUCUCCACCCGAGACUCAGUGAAAUUGAACUCGCUGUGAAGAUGCAGUGUACCCGCGGCAAGACGGAAAGACCCCGUGAACCUUUACUAUAGCUUGACACUGAACAUUGAGCCUUGAUGUGUAGGAUAGGUGGGAGGCUUUGAAGCGUGGACGCCAGUCUGCGUGGAGCCGACCUUGAAAUACCACCCUUUAAUGUUUGAUGUUCUAACGUGGACCCGUGAUCCGGGUUGCGGACAGUGUCUGGUGGGUAGUUUGACUGGGGCGGUCUCCUCCUAAAGAGUAACGGAGGAGCACGAAGGUUGGCUAAUCCUGGUCGGACAUCAGGAGGUUAGUGCAAUGGCAUAAGCCAGCUUGACUGCGAGCGUGACGGCGCGAGCAGGUGCGAAAGCAGGUCAUAGUGAUCCGGUGGUUCUGAAUGGAAGGGCCAUCGCUCAACGGAUAAAAGGUACUCCGGGGAUAACAGGCUGAUACCGCCCAAGAGUUCAUAUCGACGGCGGUGUUUGGCACCUCGAUGUCGGCUCAUCACAUCCUGGGGCUGAAGUAGGUCCCAAGGGUAUGGCUGUUCGCCAUUUAAAGUGGUACGCGAGCUGGGUUUAGAACGUCGUGAGACAGUUCGGUCCCUAUCUGCCGUGGGCGCUGGAGAACUGAGGGGGGCUGCUCCUAGUACGAGAGGACCGGAGUGGACGCAUCACUGGUGUUCGGGUUGUCAUGCCAAUGGCACUGCCCGGUAGCUAAAUGCGGAAGAGAUAAGUGCUGAAAGCAUCUAAGCACGAAACUUGCCCCGAGAUGAGUUCUCCCUGACUCCUUGAGAGUCCUGAAGGAACGUUGAAGACGACGACGUUGAUAGGCCGGGUGUGUAAGCGCAGUGAUGCGUUGAGCUAACCGGUACUAAUGAACCGUGAGGCUUAACCUU